rnacentral:lncRNA from 1 species
UGGUUAUUCAUUGAAAUGAUGAUAUUUUGGAUAUUGGUUAUAGAACUACAUUAUGAAAAUUAUUUUUACCUGUUUCUCUUUACUUUUCGAAUUACUAGAAAAAUUAAAAUUAUAUAUGCUAGACUUACAUUUGUAGCUUGCAUUACAUUUCUACAGGACAGCAAUUGUUCUGUACCUUUGAGAGUGGAUUGUAACAGAUGUUUGAAAUGUAUCAGGUCCAUACAUUGCCCCUUACAGUCUCAGAGAGCAAUAAAAUCAAACUCUUAUUUGUCUUCCACUCUGCCCUAUUUUAAUGCUCUGAGUACAAAGUACUUUAUAUGCACAGAGAGAUUGUUUAUCUUUUGGCAUGUGAAUGCUAAAGCGAUUAUCUCUUAAUCAUUCUUGUUUAAAGUUGAUGAGUAUUAUUUAUUUAUGCUAGAAGUAUUGCUCUUUGUGUUAUAGAGAAAUGCAUGGCUAUAGUUCUAAAAAAAACCCUUGGAGUUAGCAUUGGAAAAAUUCAGGCAUCUGUCCUCCGUUUUGCUGAAUGUGGGUAGGUGGGUGUGGAGGAAAACCAUGGAGCACAGAACAGAGGGAGAGCUCUCCUAAACACAAUGAACUUAAAGGUCUUUCUAGAUCCUGAGUUCUCAGAACACAAUGGAAUAUGAUCCAAAGCAACCAACCAUGCUGAAGACCUGAGCUGCCUCUGAUAACUGUUCCCUGGGAAAUCAAAUGGUAUUUCCAACCUCCCCACCUAGAAAUGGUUUGUUCAGGUCACAGAGAGGAGUCUACAGCUGAUUUCCAUCUUGGAGGAAGGAAUUGUUCCCGUCAGCCUGCUGCUUCCUGCCCGCCUGGGAUUGCAGCUGAGCCAUAUUUAGCCUCUAACGCUAGAUGUUUUAGUGCCUGGCUCUUUUUAACUGGCAUAUGUUAAGAGCUUUGAAUUAACAGGUGCAUAAAAACUGUCAAAAAACACUUAAAUCUCAAGACAGACUGUCGGUUGUAUUAAAAAAUAUGGUGUUACAUAACCAUGCACUCUCAACACAUCUAGCAUAUAACAGCUUGGAAAGUCCUUUCUCCCUCCAAGCAACCCAGCAACAUUACUUCAGCCUAUGAAACAAAAGGCCAUGGUCCUUUAACCUCUUGAUGGAUGAUAGUGUGCGUGCAUGUGUGCACACAUGUGCGUAUGUUUUGGGAGGGUCAGAAUCGUACAUGAAGCUUUCCCUUCUGCAAUUGAUUCUUCCUUCAGUUUCCAAGGUCCCCAUUUAUAAACUAAGCAAUUGACAGAAAAAAAGAAUUCCCAGAACUUUGGAAGGCAUACUUGAAGUUGUUCCUUUUAAGGAAAAUAAACAAUUUAUCAUGUAACAUGGUGAAAUGUAAAUUAAAAUUAGCACAAGAUGGCAGUGAGAGAAAAUACUUCACUUAGAGCUGUGUGAAUUAUGUGUAAAAGAUACUACUUGGUUAAAAUACGUAGAAUGAAGUAAGAUCCAGUUAAAUCAGAGGAUGAGGUUUACUUCCAUGGUAUUAUGCUGUUUUAUUAUAUUUUUGAAGAUAAUCAUUAUGUUUCAGUAAUUGGGAUAAAAGAAUAUAGCAUUUCUGAAUUAAGUACUUUCUUGCACAUAAUAUGUAGCAUAAAACAUCUUAAUUUAAUCAGAUUAAAGUUUAAUAUGACUUUGGCUCUCUGUUUCAUAGUGAUGUCUUAGAGUCAGCAUUAGGCCCUAAUCUACCAAACAGCUGGGUAACCAGGACCAAUUCAGUUACUUUUUCAAAAUCUCAUUUAGUUUUUAAAUUGUAAUACGAAGGUGGAUGGGAGUGGGGUGGGAGAGAAAAACUCCUUAACAUUCCUUUUAGUUCUAAAAAGAGUAAAAAUCAUAUGAUUUAUGACAUUCUUCCUGGAAUAAGAGCAUCAUUUCUAGAUAUCCCUAUGUAGAAUCCUAGGACUACUAUACUGCAACGAUGAGGCAGGGCUUUGUUUGCUUACCUUUUUGUUUUUUUCUGUGCCCUGAGCUUUACAUUGUUUAUGCUUUUGUUUUUUCAUUUUGACGUGCCCUCCGUAAAACUGUCAGAGGUCAGACUUCCCAGAAAGUAGACUCUGGGAUGAGGACGUGUAUGCAAAAUCUACUGGAGGUUAUGUCUGAGGACAAUGGCUGUCAGUGGUCAAGGAAGCAGGAUGGGCAGAGAGAGACGUUGGGUGAGAUAUAGACAUGACAAAGGCCUCAGCCAAUCCUAUGGGGAGUUCUGGCCCCAGUUCUUCGCAGUUGAGGCAUGGUGGCCAAUUCUUUUUGCCCCCAUAACUCUUAGUCUUUGGUGGCAGGCUAUCUCCCAGGAAGGGGGCACAAACUUUGGCAAGGCCACUCUCUUUAGCCUAGGACAGCUCCUAGAGAAUCUUCCAGUGAGCCAUUUGCCCCCAGUACUCCUCACAGCCCCCAUCCUGAAGAGGUCAUCUGGGUAGUACACCAGUGUGUCCAUUGCAAAGACAAGUGUAGGAUCUGUUCUCAUGGUCCUUGUAAUUUCUCUUCUGCUAGAUGUCUGACCUUGGACAAAAUGCUUAGUUUUGUGCUUCUUAAUUUCUUCUUUGCUUAUUCCCAAAUUGUGGAUAAUAAUAGAACCAGAUAAGGUUAUCAUGAAGACUAAAAGAUAUAAAAAAUUUAAAGCAUCUAGCUAUGCCUGACAUGUAGCAGGCUCUCUUUAAAAAUGAGUUUGGGGAAUUCCCACUGUGGCUCGGAGGUUACAAACUUGACUAGUAUCCAUGAGGAUGCGGGUGUGAUCCCUGGCCUCACUCAGUGGGUUAAGGAUCUGGCAUUGCUGUGAGCUACAGAAAGAUUAUUUCUGCCCCACUUAUGCAUUAAUUUGAGGCCCUAUGGCUAAGUAUCCCGACAAAUUUGUCCGGCAUCAAUCUAUUAAUCUGCAGAGGGUUUAGAUGGGAUAGAAGGGAGAUAGAUCAAAGUACUUAGUUAUUUUGCCAAAUCCUUUUUUAAAUAUGAAACCUAGCCAAAACCAGAUAUCAUACACAGUCAACACUGUUUUCCCAUUGGGAGGUGUUAACAUGAUUGUUAUUGUUUUAUCCUUAUUGAUUGGCAACAAGAUGUUCAUUUCUGUAAUGGGCAUGGAGGAGAAAGCGGUUUGCUAAAGAGGACUUCAUUCUAACAAAGAUCAAAAUGUGGCUCUUUCAUCUGAUAUAUGUUUUCUCUUUGUUUGGAUACAGGGCCUUGUGGCUGGUUUUAAAAUUCCGGUGUGUAUGUCAAAUAGUCAGGGCUUGCUCCUCUUUCUUGCUCACUCUCUCCUUUCCUCCUUCAUUGCCCACAGAGGUUUCCUUCUGGCUUUUUCCCUCUCACCACCAACCAGCCUGAUGUAACUAUCCCAGCAGGCCAAAGAAGGCGAGGCAAUGUCAUAAAACCAAGCGUUGUUGGUAAAUAUUUUCAUUUCAGAAAAGCUGAAAAACAAUUGUUAUUGCGGAAGUUGAAGGGCCAAGUCCAGGAAGGAAAUUCCUGAAAAGGGACCUGGCCCCAGCAUUGACAAUCUCUUUAGCUGGGAGAUAUUUUUAUCUUUGAAUAUGGAACAGGAAGAUCAUUUUCUCUAAACAUUAGAAUGAAACCGAAUCUUUUCCAGCCGGCCAGCAACUUAUAAUAGAGAAGAAGAAAAUUACUCGAGUCCUAACCAUCGGGAAGUUAAAACCAUAACAAUAAAACAAACUAAAAAGACCCAAACAAACAAAAACCACUUUUCGUUCCACUGUGUGAACUAAACAAUCCCAUCCCUCAGGGUGUAUUGGUUUUUAUUUUAGUUUACUUACAUUUGGGUAUCCAUUUCGCCUCUCUUUAAAGGAGGCAGAGGUGUUGAGGGAUGGAAAUCAGUUUUCUAGGUUAUUUAUAUUAGCAGUUUUCAUCGUGCUAUCUUGAUGAUUAUAUAGGAAAUCAUGCACUUCCUUUUUUUCAUCUUUAAAGAAAGUAUGGAACAAGUCCUUGAGAAAAAGUUUUCAAUUUAAACUCUAUUCAUAUUUGUCCUUCAGUUCUGCUAAAAAGAGAUGAUCAGUGGCCUCAUUAUUGAUUUAUACCUGACACCUGGUCAAAACAGACAGUGUUUAUAUAGCACAAACCUCAAAGUACACCAAGUCUUGUGCUGAAUUAUGGAGUCCUGGGGGAUGGGGGCUGAAAUCCAUAAGACCAUGGGGGUAGAGUGGGAUGGAGGUGUGAGGGGAGGGAUUUGGAAGUGAUCUGACACAUUCUAAGUAUCUCCCAAGAUUACUUGGAACCUCUCACUUUCCAGAGCCUCACCCUCUUUCUUGCCUUGCUCCACCACAGCCUACCAACUUAGCUGGGCCUGGUGAUGUACCUACUGCCUUCAGCAGCCUACUACUUUGUGAAUGCCAGGUCCCUCCCCUUCAGCUGCCAGUCCUGUGUCCACAUGGUUCUAUCUCCUCCCAACACUUUCAGACUUGGGUAAAAUGGUACACCGCAGGCACACUACUAUGCCAUUCGACAUCCCAGCAGCUGCCAAAACGAUAUACUCCAGAAAGGUGGGGAGACGUAUCCUACAGGGCAAACUUCAACCAGUGAGGAAGGAAAAUAGCUGUGAGUAGGCCAGAUGAACUUCCUCUUCUUCCUCACAUCCAUGGACUGCUCUGAAGCAUCAUUUCUUAAUUAUCUGUAGAAGUGCCUACUGGAUAUGCCUGUGGUGCUGUCCACUACAUCUCCUCAUCACUGUGUCGAAGCAUUGGCCAGUGCAUUACUGCUUCCUAAUCCUCCCCUUCCUCAUUCCUCACUCUAUCUGACUUCCCAAGCAAAGAAUCACCAGUGAAUCUUUGCCUCAGGAUCCUUUUUUUGGGAGCCCUGAGCUAAGACUAGAGGGCAGCAUAACUUGCUCUGAGAAAAUGGUCUUUUCAGUAACCCUCAUGACCUACUGUCUGAAUCUUUAAAAGUGUGUGUACAAUUAAGAAAUCCCUCUGAGAUGGAAAUCCUGUGAAAUCAGAUUGUUAUGAUCAUUAUACAACUACAGAUAUGUGAUAAAUUCAUUUGAGUAAUAAAAAAAAAAGAGAAAGAAAUCCCUCUGAGGAGUUUGGAAUGCUAGACUGCCCCCCUUAAGGUCCUGAUAGCAGAGAAUGGCACAGAUACACAUCCAUGGGGGCAGUGGAGGAGAGAUCUUGAUACUUCCUCAAUGCAGGACAAGGUAGGCACAGGCCAGCCUCAAGGGCCAUUGGGUCCCUCAGUAGCAGGAAGUAUCUAGCCUUGGUUGUUGUGAUAACGAAUCUUCAUGGGGAAAUCACUAAAGAUAAAUAGAGAAGGAAAUAAUCUUGUGGGUGGUACAUAGCAAUUUGAGAGCCCUUGUUCAGAAGAAUUUGCGAGGCCGCCCUUCAAAGUUUUAGAAUUAUUUGGAACUUUGAGAAAGAAGAGGAUUGGGGCAAGGGUUAAAGUGUCUGCAGUACAAGUCAGACAAAAGCCAACUUUUAUAAUGCAGUUGUUGAGUUAGAAUGACUAACCGUAGUGCCUGUGAGCUAGCUACAGGUUGACUACAAUUUGCUGUGCACCCUUGGUGUUUCUGUAGGGCUCAGUGUGACACUUGGGCCCAUUUCCUAAUGGGAUGUACCAGGACUGGCUCCACUUUAUUAUUUGUUUUGCUACAUCCUAAGCCCAUUAACCAAUCCAUGAGUUAGCCCAUGAAAUUAUCACUUAACAACAUGACCUCAAACUUUCUGGACUAGGUCUUUUAAGUCAUAUACUCAAAGCUAAACUCUUCUCAGAUGAUAGCUCUGGGUAAAAUGAGAGAGAACUUGACAGUAGAAAAGUAUGUUCUAAGGGUAGAGCCCUCUGCUUACAAUGAAAGGUAUCUUCCAGAUACUCUCAAAUUAAGUUUGGGGCAUUAUUAGUAAUUAUUAAGCUGAGAAAAAAGUGACUAUAGGAAAGAGCAAGAUAUGCAACAGCUGAGGAAGAUUGAUGGCAGAACCCAUGACUUCUUCCCUUAAAAUUUAAUAAUCUGUGUCAGAGUUUCUAAGUUCAGGAACAACUGAAGGGCCUGCCCAGUUGAUUAGCAAUGAGUGUCUGUACAGCAAAGGGACCAAUGUAAUACAGCUGUAGUCAUAAACAUAUUCCUCAUAAUUUAAUCAAAAGAGCUCAAAAAGUCCAUACCAGUGAUGCUCAUCCAGUUUCCAUCCUGGAAUAUUGUGAUUUCCUAACCCUUUCUUUGAGGAGUUAAAAGGAAUGAUGAUUAUUUUAAUUUUAGGAUAAAAAAAAUGAAUCAUAACAAUACAAUUCAGAAUUCACAUAUGACACAAAAUUAAAGGUUCAACAUGUAUCUAAUUGUUAGUAGAUCUAUUACUACUGCACUAUUCUAGUUGAUAUUCAAUAGUCACAGAUAUUUGUAUGUACAUAAUUAUGGAUACACAAAAGUAAAAAAUGAUAUUGUGUGUUGCUGUUCAUCUAUUGCCUCUUCUCUCACCCAUCCCCUCCCUACUUAUCAAUAUACCAACUUUUAUUCAAUCCAAAGACCAAAUUUUGUUGAUUUUUACUGAUGUAUCUUCAGUAUCAUAGCACUUGACAUUAUAUAGUAGAUAUUCAAGAAAUAUUUGUCCGAAAAGAAAUUUAUCAAAGGUGGUCACACUAGUGAAUAAAUCUCUUCAAACCAUCUCCUAUUCUGAGAAAUCUAAACAGGCUUUUUCCCUCUUAGGCUACACACUAAGCUAUAUGAAGCACAAAAUUUUGAGACCUAAUAUGUGUUUACUCUUGUUCAUUUACCCUGAAGAGUGUAUUUGCUAAUCAGGUAAAAAAAAGAGGCUGUAUGUAUAAUUCUAAGGUGGUAGCAAUUAUAUAACUUUUCAUAGAAUAUGUGCACAGCUUCUGUGUAUAUGUAACAAGGCAUUAAUCUUGUUCCUCAUCAAUGCGAUUAUCCCCAUCUUCAUCCACUGAGGGCUACCAAACAUCUAGGAGGAAAGCAGGGAAGGCAGCAAAGGAGAUGUCUAGAAGGAAGGCUCAGGAGACAGUGAGAUAUGCUAAAAAAAAAAAAAAAAA